GACGUAGGUGGCGAACGUUAUCCGGAAUUAUUGGGCGUAAAGGAAGCGUAGAUGGUGUAGUAAGUUAUCGGUGGCAAAUCGAGGCUCAACCUCGUGGAAGUCGGUAAUACUGCUAUGCUAGAGGAUAGGAGAGGUUAACGGAACUCCCUGUGGAGCGGUGAAAUGCGUAGAUAUAGGGAAGAACACCAAUCAGGCGAAGGCAGUUAACUAUUCUAUUCCUGACAUUGAGGCAUGAAAGCGUGGGGAGCAAAACGG
rnacentral:rRNA from 1 species